rnacentral:rRNA from 1 species
UACGGGGGGGGCAAGCGUUGUCCGGAAUCAUUGGGCGUAAAGAGCGACGUAGGCGGCCAGAUAAGUCCGGUGUGAAAGUCAACAGGCUCAACCUGUGAAUGGCCGCUGGAAACUGUCUGGCUAGAGUCCGGAAGGGCGAGUGGAAUUCCGUGGUGUAGCGGUGAAAUGCGCAGAGUAUCGAGGAGGAACACCAAUGGCGAAGGCAGCUCGCUGGAACGGUACUGACGCUGUGGCGACGAAAGCGUGGGGAGCAAACAGG